CCAAACCCAGCGGCUCCGAGGACCGCGCGCUCUACGACCUGGCUGCCUUCCUCAAGACCAUCGCGCUCAGCGGGGUGCAGGACGUGCGCGCGGUGCUGCAGAAUUACUCGCACGAGGUCGAUCCCCUGGCGGCGUUCCUGCGGCGCCGCUCCCGCCUCCAGGAGGAGGAGCAGCAGCGGAGGGCGGAGCUGGCGCAGGGCCGGAAGCCGCCGGGGGCGGGGCCGUUCCUGGGCUCCCUCACCGGGCGCCUCUGGCCGCGCUCCAAGCAGCAGUGACGUCACCGCGGCGUCGCCGUGACGUCAUCGCCACCGCGGGACGGCGCCGUGGGGGGAGGGGGACCCCAAAUCCCCCCUCCCCUCCCCCAACCC